rnacentral:lncRNA from 1 species
GCGUUUAAAGACUUUGGGGAUGGCGGAGAUGGUGGAGGAGAAGGAGACUGUUUUGCCGGUGUAGAGAGAAGCAACGGUGAAGACUACGGCGGCGGUUGAGAGGAGAGAGAAGGCGAAGAGGAAGAUGAGGUAGCUGAACUCGAAGAUGAGGAGCACGGUCCAGUCGUGGCGGGAGCGAUCGGAGUUAGGUGGGUCGGAGGAGGCGAGCUUGGAGAGAAUGGGCUGAGUGAAGAGGGAGUGAGCGAGGAUGGCGAAGGAGAGAGGGAAGAUGAGGGAGAGGGUGAUGAGGUAGAAGGUUCUUGGAGAUCGUUUCUUGAUUGAGAUGGAUUCUUCAACUAGUUGAGGGAUCGUCAAGAACUGGAGUUCUUCUGGCUGCAGAUCCAUGCCUUGUUUCUUCUGUGAGAAUUCUGAAAGGAAGAUGAGAUUUGUUUCUGAAUGCCCCCAAGAGGAUGAAUAUUGAAGACGAAGACUUUUGGUGGAAACUUCAACCAAACUAUUAUUAUCAUGUUUGUGUGUUUCUUUGACCCGUUUGACCAAUUUUUUUUUUUCUUUAAUAGAAUUAUUCUUUGCUUAAUACUCCAUGUAAAGUCUUCUUCUAUGGGCAGACUUCUUCUUUUUUUCUUGCAUGAUGAUGGGACGCAAUCCAGGAAGUAAGACUUUCCAUCUUCUCCUAUUUUUUAGCAAGACUUUUUAUUUGAACAAUCGCUUUUUGUUUUUUCUUUGGUUAAUAGUGAAAAUUCCGGACCUUUUAAGUCUUUUGACACCUCUAGCAUAGAUUGGUUGACAAUAUAGGAAACAUGAUUUAACUCUUUAAAUUGCAAGAUCAUUAAAAAGCAAAUUGUGUUCUUAAGCCAAUUAACAGACUAAAAGCAUGGAUGAGAGGUAGAAAACAUGUGGUUUUCUUGUCAAUCUUUCUCAUAUCGUUGCUUUUCAGAUCAUAACCGAGAACAUGAAAGGGAGAAAAGCAAAUCAUGUGGUAUCAAUAAAACCAUGCCAUUAUAACUUUACCUUAAAAUAAAUGUUAUUGACCAAAUGGAGCUGAUAAAGGUUGCAAAACCUAAGUCUUCCACCAUUCAUUGUUCUCGUCAUUUUCCAAACCUCAUAAAUCCACCGUACCCUUAUGCAUUUAAUAUUAAAUAUUACUUUUAAAUCUAUGUGAAAAUUCUAAAAAACUAAUUCUACUAGAAACAUAGGUAUAUAGUAAUUGUUAACUACUUUUCUUUUAAUUUUAAAAGAAUUUUCGUAUAUAAAAAAUAAUAUUUAAUCAUAAAUGAAUAAAAAUAAAGUAAACAAAUUCUAUAAAUGUAAAAUGAUAUUAAUCCAAUAGUACAAUUAGUUUCUAUAUAUCUUUUUACACUUAGAAUUAUUACCAUUAAUUAAUUAAUAAUGCAUGAAAUAUAUCUUUACCAAAACAAAAUAACUUUCUUAUAAAUUCAUUUUUUUAGGAACGGAUAGUUUAUUUUACCAAAUGAUAGGUAACAACUAGUAAAUCAGAGACGAGAAAAGGAUUACAAUUAACAGAAUUUGAACAGCUAGAACAGUAACUGAUUUUGCCCAAAGAAAAAGAACAGUCAUUGAUGAGCUCGCUGAUUGUACAUGAUUUGGUUUGGCAUGAAUCUCUCUUCCUAACCAGGUGGCCACUUCAUCUGUCGGCCCCCAAGGACGUGGAGAUGAAGAUGGUAAACGGAUUGGCCUUGAUGAGAGGAAGUUAAGUGAGUUAAGUGUAUGAUAAUGAUGAUGAAUACAAAUUAGGAUGAUAUUUGGUUGGAUGGAAAAGACUUACAUCCUUCAGCACCGUUGUUUAUAACCACACGGAACCCAUCCACAAUGCCUUCUUUCUCAGCAACAAUCUUUGAUGCGUGCAGAAGUUGACCUAGAACUUCUAUGUGUCUUGGCUCAGCCUGCAAGAGUGUUUCACAGGAAGACAAUGUUCAGGUAAGAUAUUAAUCUAUUCCUCCAAAAGAAAAACUUAACUCUUCUUUCCACAAAGACUAUUUCCUCUAAUUACAAGAUUAUGAAUGAUCAGAAACACAGGACAUAACCCACAAUGCUGCUAGUCAUUACUCGUUACGAAACAACAUAACAAUUGGCCACAAGAUGAGACUCUGUGACAUGUGGACUGUAAAACCUAUUCGAUUGUGAUGGAAACACACACAAGGACCUAUUUGUUUUCCGCAAUUGCUUUCGAAUGUGCAACCCCGAGAAAGACCAACAUGGUUUCUUUCUUUAAAACUAGAAUGUGAAUCUCUAUUUCAACCUUACUAGAGAGGCAGAUUGAAUGCUAAAUUUAAAAAUUGGUCACCUUGCCAAGCGUGGUCAAGCCAUCUCUCAACUUAGGGAUGACCAAAACAUGAACAGGAGCCUGUGGGUUUAUGUCUCUGAAUGCCAAAACAUUCUCAUCUUCAUAGACAAUGUCUGAUGGAAUCUCUUUCGCUAUGAUCUUGUCAAAUCUAAAAACAAGAGCAUAAGAAUCAUUUCUAAACCCAUCACCAACAUAACAAACUAGGUCAGAUGUCUGAAAGAUUAGGCUCAUUUGUAUCAAAACACAAAAACAUGGAUUGUUCUGUAAUCAGUUAUUGAACUACAAUCCUUCAGACAAAGCGUACAUGGUCGGGGCUCCGGUGUCAGAAGCAGCUUUCGCGGCGGCCUCUUCAUUGUGUGCGGCACGAGUAGAAGAGAUGGAUCUGCCGAGCGAUAUAAACCAAAAUAAACGAGGAACUCAAAAUUAUCCACAUAUACAAAAACGAACUGAUUGAUUUUGACCUUGGAGAAGCAAUACGAGGAAGAACCCGAAUAAUCUCUCCGGCAGAGAAGAUUCUUGAAUUCGCUCGAACAGACUGAGCAAUCCUCCCCACCGUAGGGAGGUUCCUGAACACGAUACACACAUUAGCAAAUCAAUUCAACAACCAGCUCAAUUAUAUCUGUAGUUGACCAGUUUUACCGGAGCAGCAUCAUAGAGGAGGAAGUGACAGCCAUUCAAGAAGCUCUGCUUCGGCAACCAUUUCGAUCGACUUCGUAGCGAGUCUUUGUACAGACCUCAUCGUAGCGAAUCCUGAUAGAAACGACGUCGUAAUGAAUCUUUAUAUUUUGUUCACAUAAUAUUAUUUAGAGAAAAUGAGUAGGAUAACGCUAAAAAAAGUUUUUUUCACAAAUAUAGGUUCUAAAAAUAAAAAUGACCAAAAUAGCACUUAAUGUUUUAUCAAAAGAGAUAAAUAUACAUUUAUACCCCAAUGGUAAAUUAAUUUAGACAUUAUGAUUUAGAGUUAAGUGGUGGAGUUUAGGAUUUAGGGUUUAUGGUUUAGGGUUUAGAGUUUAGGGUUUAUAGUUUAGGGGUGGGGUUUAGGAUUUAGGGUUUAGAGUUAAGGAGUGGGGUUUAAGAUUUAGGGUUUAGGGUUUAGAGUUUAGAGGUGGGGUUUAGGUUUAGGGUUUAUAGUUAAGGGGUGGGGUUUAGGAUUUAGGGUUUAGGGUUUAGGGUUUAGGUUUUAGGGUUUAGGUUUUAGGGUUUAGGAUUUAGAGUUUAGGGUUUAGAGUUUAGGGUGGGGUUUAGGGUUUAGUGUCUUGAACCAACCGGUGUUUUGUGUAGACCGAGACAACAUGCAUAAGACAACUUCAUUUUUUCGUAGAACUUAGUUCCCUAUUGUGUUCAUUGUGGCCCUGAACUAUUCCUGGUUUUCAUGAGUAAACUUAGAAAAUAUAGCCUUGCAUUCAUUCUCAUAGAAACGGCCCCAUUUCACACUCAUUAGGUGAUUGACCAUGAAAAGUAUUGAGUAAUACUCCGCUUUGGAAGCUAUGGAAUCAUUAAAAGCUUAUGCUUAUCCUUCUCAGAUUUGUUAGCACUUUUAUCAUCUUAAGAACUGGGAAGAGACUACUUUGUCUCAAGUGCUUUGGUUAGAUUCAGUUUGAUUUUGUUUUCCCUUUGAACCUACGUCUUGUGAUCUCCAGUCAUGAUAGGUAGGGCUGCAAUCAAGCAUCUUCAUUCGUUAUAGGCUUUAAACUCAUUCCUUUUGAUGAUUUAGCAACAACAUCUCGUGACAAAUCUUUUGUAAAUGGAUCCGCUAGGUUGUCAGCCGAUUUGAUGUAGUUUAUUGUGAUUACACCAGUUGAGAUAAGUUGUCUAAUUAAUUAUAUACAUAAAUAAUAGAUAAAAAUUAGUUUUAUAUAUAACAUUCAUCCCGCGGAAUCGCGCGAGUUACAACUUAAACGUGUUGGACGUUGGCCCAACAUCAUUCAAGUUGGCCUAGUCCGAAGACCAAUCAAAAUCAUUUAGGCGUCAUAUCGACCCAUAAAAAGAGAAACCCACAUUUUUGCAAGUUCGUUCAUAAAGCCUUUAUAAUCUUGGGAUUAGACAACGGAUAGUGUCAGCAUACUAGGGUUGGACAUCACCGAUUGUAGUUGCUUCACUAACCACCAACUACAAACAAAAAAAAACUUGGAUAUUUUAACGUGAUACGUCUUCGCAAUGUGCUGUUACGAUGACCUAUGAAUCAACUGAUCAACUUCUUAGAGUUAGGAGAAUCAGCAUAUAAUUAAAGAGAGUUCGGUUGACGACUCAUUCACAAUUCGGUUGAUGACAUGUUAUUCUCUAUAUACUCUUCUGCUCCAUGUACCUUUGUACCGAGCCCCUCUCUUUCUCUCAUUUUUUUUUGUUGAUUGAAAUACCCGUCAGCAAAAAGACAUCUAUCAAAAGUUGCUCCUACGAACUAAACUUUAGUGUGGGUCAAUAGUUGAUGAAAGGUAUCUACAAAUUAAAGCCAGCUAGUUCCUCCAAUAAUGGUCAACUUAGGCAUCUACAAACCAAUAUUUUCAUCAUUUCCAAACAAUCUCCCAUAAGAUAAAACUAAAUUUUCACAGAUAACAAGGUUGUAGAAUAAAAUCAAAUAAAGUGACAAACUCAAAAUCCUUUCAAAUCAUAGAUUAAUCAAAUCAAAACACUACCAAAAGAGUGUUCACGUCUAUACAUACACAUUAGAUAACAACUAUUAUUCAAAUACCACUGCCUCUUCUUCUCCAAUCUUACAUUACCUCAAUAUAGUAUACAGAGAGAAAGACAGAGAAGAACUAGUACCAUCAUGAUCUCACAUGUCUAAAUUCUCCAACUGAAUGUUGCUCUUAAGAGGCACAUAAUCUCCAAGAUACCCACCAAGAUGAUCAUACAAAGCCGUCUUAUCAAUAGUCUGAUGAUGAUAACUCUUGCAAACGUAAUAAAACACACUCUGAACCAACAAACCCACCAAAUUCACCAUCACAAGAACACCAACAAGCAACCCACCAACAAGGGUCCUAGUCAAAGUCCCAAACUUUCCUCCUCCAUGAACCACAAUCGAUCCAAAAGUACCUCCAAUUAAUGCACAGAGAAAAAGGUAAACAAAGACCAACCCCAUAGCCAUCUUAGUCUUCCCCUUAAGAAGCUCAUAAGCUUUUCUCAUGGCAGAAAGUCCAUAAACAGGCUCAAGAACAGAGAUCACACUACCUAGAUGCCAUAGGGCAGUGAAAUAGACAUGAACAACAAAGUAAAGAACAGAGAUUAUAACUCCAGCGAUGACCGCUAAGCCUACACUGUUCAUAUCGAGAGCUAUGAAUAGUAUCACUAGGAAAACAAAGAAGACAGCGUUGUAAGCGAACAUCAAGAGUGCAACCCAAAGAAAAGUGAUCAAGAGGCGUUUAAAGACUUUGGGGAUGGCGGAGAUGGUGGAGGAGAAGGAGACUGUUUUGCCGGUGUAGAGAGAAGCAACGGUGAAGACUACGGCGGCGGUUGAGAGGAGAGAGAAGGCGAAGAGGAAGAUGAGGUAGCUGAACUCGAAGAUGAGGAGCACGGUCCAGUCGUGGCGGGAGCGAUCGGAGUUAGGUGGGUCGGAGGAGGAGAGCUUGGAGAGAAUGGGCUGAGUGAAGAGGGAGUGAGCGAGGAUGGCGAAGGAGAGAGGGAAGAUGAGGGAGAGGGUGAUGAGGUAGAAGGUUCUUGGAGAUCGUUUCUUGAUUGAGAUGGAUUCUUCAACUAGUUGAGGGAUCGUCAAGAACUGGAGUUCUUCUGGCUGCAGAUCCAUGCCUUGUUUCUUCUGUGAGAAUUCUGAAAGGAAGAUGAGAUUUGUUUCUGAAUGCCCCCA